rnacentral:lncRNA from 12 species
GGAUGUCUUUUCCAGCUACAAGAAACAAACAAACAAAAAACCCCUAAUAAAUAGUGACCUAAGACCCUAAGUGUAUUUGGUGCUUACUUAACAAGAUGCUUGUCUCCAGGCUGGUUUGGUAACUCAACAAUGUUAUCAAAGAGGGCAGAUUGCGCCCUGCCUCCCGCGUGAGUCAGCAAGGGCUCUGCAACCCCGAAGGCGGCCACUGCCCGUGCGCAGAGGCCUUCACGCUGGAGGCAAAAGGGUUUUCUCCUCCCUUUGCCUUCUGCUAUCAGGAAGUGAAAUCUCUCCUCCAAGCCCUCCACCGACUUCUGCUGGCCCCGCACCAGUCAGGUCGGGCUCUGGUGCCCGCUCCCGGGUGUUGGCAGCCGCUGGCCAAGGAGAAGGGCCCACCCGGUGGCGGGCAGGGAGGGCGACGCCCCGGAGCCGCCCGGGAGUCUGCAGAUUGUUGGAUUUUGAAGAGGAGGAGGAUAUAAACAUCAAGGAUUAG